GACAGAGGAGCCAAGCGUUGUCCGGAGUAACUGGGCGUAAAGCGCACGCAGGUGGUUCUGUGCGUGGAGUGUGAAAGCUCUCGGCUUAACUGAGAGAGGCCACCUCAUACGGCAGAGCUCGAGCCCGUGAGAGGUCCACGGAAUUGCCGGUGUAGUGGUGAAAUGCGUAGAGAUCGGCAGGAACAUCAGUGGCGAAGGCGGCCUUCUGGACCAGUACUGACGCUGAGGCACGAAAGCGUGGGGAGCAAACAGG
rnacentral:rRNA from 1 species